GUGAAUUGUUACUGCCACCGCCGGCUGGGCUGGGAGCGACCCCGACGGCAGAUGAGGCAGGAAGAGCCGGGACCACGGGAGCGGCGGCGACGGUACAGACUGUGCUCGUGGUACUGCAACAGCUGGAAAUGCCAUGCUUGAAAGUGCCUUGAGCUGUGAAGCAUGACAAGAACUAGCACCCAAGAACUCGUCAGAAUAAAAAUGGUCUGACAGCAGCUACUCCGGGGAAUCGCCCCUCUCCUGCAAGCCAUCAACGUGAAGAUGCUCCUGGGAUGGAGAGACGGCAACUUUCCAGGCAUAACCGGUGUUUUCAGAAUCUGUACUUGUUUACUCGAUGAGGAUCCUGGAUGCCAGAGGAGUAAUGUGAGUUUGCUCAGAACCAUCCAGUUAGUGACAGGCUGGGCUGGAGCCUGCUUCUUUGGCCCCUAGGCCCCUGCUUCCUCUAGGGUAUACUUGAUUCCACCUCUCAUAGUCUACCAAGAGGGAGAGCUCCUGGGUCCAUUUGGAACUCUCCUUUUAUUCCUGUGCUCUCAAAAUUCACAGAAUCCAAAUCCACACUGUUCCUGGAGACCCUGAAUUCCCUGAACAUGGAUGGAUGGCCCUGGCAGCUACGCUGGGCUUGCAGCGUCUUAGGGUUAGAAGAUGAGGCACCUGUUCCUUCCAAGCUGAAGCAAUGUGGGUCACUGAAAUGAGUCUGAAAGUCUGAGUCCAGAAGAAGCCGAGAGCCAAGAAAUGCAAGGAAUGCAGCUCUGGAAGCUGGAGAAGGCAAGCAAACAAGUUCUCCUCUAGAGCCGCCUUGAUCUUGGCCUAGAGAAACAGAUUUUUGGAUGUCUGACCUCCAGAACUCAAAGAGAAUUAAAUGUAUAUUUUUUUAAGCCAUGAAAUUUGUGGUAAUUUGUUACAGCAGCCAUAGGAGACUAAUACAGGUUGUUUCCAAACUU